UACAUGUGGGGCAAGCGUUGUUCGGAAUUACUGGGCAUAAAGGGUGCGUAGGUGGCUUGUUAAGUCAGGGGUGAAAGUUUUCGGCCCAACCGGAAAAUGGCCUUUGAUACUGGCGAGCUCGAGUGCGUGAGGGGUAACCGGAACGAGCAGUGUAGCGGUGAAAUGCGUAGAUAUUGCUCGGAAGGCCAACGGCGAAGGCAGGUUACUGGUACGCAACUGACACUGAGGCACGAAAGCGUGGGGAGCAAACAGGG
rnacentral:rRNA from 1 species